CAACAACACCGGUACCAUUGCUGACUUGCUGAAGAGCGCGAACGCGAUGCGAGACUUCUGAGACCAGUUGGGACAAACGAGAAUUACCCACAGUAAAAUCUUCAAUAUCACAGAGGUGUUGAAGAAGAUCAUCUGGCCAAAUACCUUGCUGACGUGCCAACUCGUAGCCCAGCUCCUGCAACAAAUCAUCAAGAGAAGACAUGAUAAAAGGAGGAGAAAAUGAACCAAAUAAAGAAAAGUAGCCUAUUUAUAGGAAGAGGGGGGGGAGUACUGAUGGUACCCCCAAGUUACCAACCCAGGCCCACGAAGAAGCCCCGGUCCAGUAAGACACAGCGGAAAGCCCAGAUCAUUCCAAAGACGUUAAACUGUUUGAAUGGUCCGGACGGCUCCAUAAGCCCUACGAACAUUUGGCCGACCGGCUUAAAAGACCCAUUAACUCGAGCAGUUGACACCCCAAAGAAGGCGUCCCAAGUAUAUCGGAUCCAUCAGGUCGAUUCGUGUUAGGAAGUUGUAUAAAUACCCCUAGGGGUGAAGUGUAAAAGGGGG
rnacentral:lncRNA from 1 species